UCAACUGUUAGAAAAAAGUAGAAAUGAACUAAGCCCUCCCAGCUAACAAGAUAAAGAAAUCGCCUGCAGGAAAGAUAGUUGGACACCAGAUUGACAGAAGUGUUGCAAAAUUCAACAACUCCAUGGAGUUGAGGACACAUUUCAAAGGGGAAAAGAAGACACAACCAUAACUACAGUUACCAAGUGUACCAGGACCCCUACUUUCCAGAAUAGCUUCCAGACUAAGUAUUUAUUCAAAGAUGUGUCACACUUUGAAUAAAACACACUUUGUGUGUUCAAAGAUGAACACACUUAGGGACAGGAGGUUAGA